rnacentral:rRNA from 1 species
CCAGCAAUGCGGGUGGUUGGCCGCCAGCGAUGUUGCGAGAAGUUUCAUGAACCUUAUCAUUUAGAGGAAGGAGAAGUCGUAACAAGGUUUCCGUAGGUGAACCUGCGGAAGGAUCAUUG